rnacentral:rRNA from 1 species
AUUGAACGCUGGCGGCGUGCUUUACACAUGCAAGUCGAACGGUAACAGGUUAAGCUGACGAGUGGCGAACGGGUGAGUAAUGCAUCGGAACGUGCCCGAUCGUGGGGGAUAACGCAGCGAAAGCUGCGCUAAUACCGCAUACGAUCUGAGGAUGAAAGCGGGGGACCGUAAGGCCUCGCGCGAUCGGAGCGGCCGAUGUCAGAUUAGGUAGUUGGUGGGGUAAAGGCCCACCAAGCCGACGAUCUGUAGCUGGUCUGAGAGGACGACCAGCCACACUGGGACUGAGACACGGCCCAGACUCCUACGGGAGGCAGCAGUGGGGAAUUUUGGACGAUGGGCGAAAGCCUGAUCCAGCAAUGCCGCGUGCAGGAAGAAGGCCUUCGGGUUGUAAACUGCUUUUGUACGGAGCGAAAAGGUCCUUUCUAAUACAGGGGGCUCAUGACGGUACCGUAAGAAUAAGCACCGGCUAACUACGUGCCAGCAGCCGCAGUAA